CAGUAGCCGCGGUAAUACGAAGGGGGCUAGCGUUGCUCGGAAUUACUGGGCGUAAAGGGAGCGUAGGCGGACAUUUAAGUCAGGGGUGAAAUCCCAGAGCUCAACUCUGGAACUGCCUUUGAUACUGGGUGUCUUGAGUGUGAUAGAGGUAUGUGGAACUCCGAGUGUAGAGGUGAAAUUCGUAGAUAUUCGGAAGAACACCAGUGGCGAAGGCGGCAUACUGGAUCAUUACUGACGCUGAGGCUCGAAAGCGUGGGGAGCAAACAGGAUUAGAUACCCGAGUAGUCCCUGUCUCUUAUAU
rnacentral:rRNA from 1 species